rnacentral:tRNA from 1 species
GAGAGAGGCUGGCAGCACCGGAGACUGCUAAUCUCCAUCUCCUUGGUUGAACUCCAAGGCUCACUCG